rnacentral:ncRNA from 1 species
GACCCGUUCCCCGAGCAGUCUCCGUAUGGUGUGCGCGCCCUGAAGGGCUAGGGGGCGGGUCGCUU